rnacentral:rRNA from 1 species
AUUGAACGCUGGCGGCAGGCUUAACACAUGCAAGUCGAACGAGUGGCGGACGGGUGAGUAAUGUUUGGGAAUCUGCCUUAUGGAGGGGGAUAACUACUGGAAACUGUAGCUAAUACCGCAUACCAUCGGAUGUGCCCAAGUGGGAUUAGGUAGUUGGUGGGGUAAAGGCUCACCAAGGCGACGAUCCCAAGCUGGUCUGAGAGGAGGACCAGCCACACUGGGACUGAGACACGGCCCAGACUCCUACGGGAGGCAGCAGUGGGGAAUAUUGCGCAAUGGGGGCAAGCCUGACGCAGCCAUGCCGCGUGUAUGAAGAAGGCCUUCGGGUUGUAAAGUACUUUCAGUGGGGAGGCGUUAACUGCAGAAGAAGCACCGGCUAACUCCGUGCCAGCAGCCGCAGUAAUAC